GACUACUCCUUCCCUGUUUCCCCCCUAAGACCAUGAGCCACGUGAGCGGACAGAAAGACACCUGCAGGUCUGGGCGGAGAAUGUGGUCGAAUGUGCUUUGACCAACUCAGAUCCUCUUGUCCUUCGCCAGCUGCAGGACUGGACUGGAUGCUGGGUGCUCUCGAGGCUAAAGCCCUCUGUAUGUUUUGCUCUCUGUUGACUCACUUGGGAGCCCACAAGGGGCGGGAGUGACGUGCAGGGCAGGAUUUGGCAACUCCAGGAUUGUGGCUGAAAGAUUACCUAACAGCACUGAAACCUCCUUCCUCACACAGAACAAUACAGGGAAGGGACAUGUUAGUAAAACAGGCCUGCAGAGAUCAGGAUAAAGGGCAAUGCAAACAGGAAGCUGUGAAGGCUUCUGCACGGAACCAGCUGAGCUUCACAUCUGGCUCUGAGCCUGUCCCUGGCCAGAGUGAAAGGGAAAAGGGCCAGUGACAAAAUUCUGAGAUUAGAUUCACCUGUACCUUAAGUAUACAGAGACUUCUGAAGGAGUAGAGCCGAGGAAUAGUCAAGAGAAACUCUCUGAUGAUGGGCAUGAAAGCAGCGUAUGCCAGGAAACAAUAAAGCAGGGGAUCGGAGACAAAGCUCGGCAGCUCAGGAGACUCACACACCACAGGCAUAAUUCCUCAUCAAUGUCAGAAAGUGCUUCUCCUGCUCUGAGAGAUGGUCACCACCAGCCAGCACAGUGUAAGAGGAGGGAGCAUCUGUCUUCAUCAACCCACUAAAGUUAAGCUGGCAAGCCUCUUGGGGCUCCUGGUACCGUACAGGGGAAGACUGAACACUGUUCUUGCAGGGUCUUACAAUUCGACUGGCUGCUGUCGUUAUGAAGAGUCCCUCAUGGAGCAUGCAGAUUGGCACCGCUUCCAACUAAAGGCACAUUCCAGGACCUGCAGUGGCUGUUAAUCAGCAAGUGUUUAUUGAGCACAUUGAUGUGCUUUGCUCUUUCUCUGUAAAAAAAUGAUGCCCCUUAAGAUGAAUGUUUUCAGUUA